rnacentral:misc_RNA from 1 species
GAUGAAGAACGUAGCGAAAUGCGAUACUUGGUGUGAAUUGCAGAAUCCCGCGAAUCAUCGAGUUUUUGAACGCAAGUUGCGCCCGAAGCCAUUCGGCCGAGGGCACGUCUGCCUGGGUGUCACGCAUCGUUGCCCCCCCAAACUCCGGUUCGGGCGGGGCGGAAGUUGGCCUCCCGUGCGUGCCUGCGCGCGCGGUUAGCCCAAAAGCGAGUCCUCGGCGACGAGCGCCACGACAAUCGGUGGUUUUUUUACCCUCGUUCCUCGUCGUGCGUGUCCCGUCGCCCGAACGCGCUCUUGCGACCCUCACGCGUCGCCUCGGCGGCGCUCCCAACGCGACCCCAGAUCAGGCGGGACUACCCGCUGAGUUUAAGCAUAUCAAUAAGCGGAGGA